rnacentral:rRNA from 2 species
GUUGCGGGCGUGCCUAUACUGCAAGUCGAACGAACUCUGGUAUUGAUUGGUGCUUGCAUCAUGAUUUACAUUUGAGUGAGUGGCGAACUGGUGAGUAACACGUGGGAAACCUGCCCAGAAGCGGGGGAUAACACCUGGAAACAGAUGCUAAUACCGCAUAACAACUUGGACCGCAUGGUCCGAGUUUGAAAGAUGGCUUCGGCUAUCACUUUUGGAUGGUCCCGCGGCGUAUUAGCUAGAUGGUGAGGUAACGGCUCACCAUGGCAAUGAUACGUAGCCGACCUGAGAGGGUAAUCGGCCACAUUGGGACUGAGACACGGCCCAAACUCCUACGGGAGGCAGCAGUAGGGAAUCUUCCACAAUGGACGAAAGUCUGAUGGAGCAACGCCGCGUGAGUGAAGAAGGGUUUCGGCUCGUAAAACUCUGUUGUUAAAGAAGAACAUAUCUGAGAGUAACUGUUCAGGUAUUGACGGUAUUUAACCAGAAAGCCACGGCUAACUACGUGCCAGCAGCCGCGGUAAUACGUAGGUGGCAAGCGUUGUCCGGAUUUAUUGGGCGUAAAGCGAGCGCAGGCGGUUUUUUAAGUCUGAUGUGAAAGCCUUCGGCUCAACCGAAGAAGUGCAUCGGAAACUGGGAAACUUGAGUGCAGAAGAGGACAGUGGAACUCCAUGUGUAGCGGUGAAAUGCGUAGAUAUAUGGAAGAACACCAGUGGCGAAGGCGGCUGUCUGGUCUGUAACUGACGCUGAGGCUCGAAAGUAUGGGUAGCAAACAGGAUUAGAUACCCUGGUAGUCCAUACCGUAAACGAUGAAUGCUAAGUGUUGGAAGGGUUUCCGCCCUUCAGUGCUGCAGCUAACGCAUUAAGCAUUCCGCCUGGGGGAGUACGGCCGCAAGGCUGAAACUCAAAGGAAUUGACGGGGGCCCGCACAAGCGGUGGAACCAUGGGGGUUUAAUUCGAAGCUACGCGAAGAACCUUACCAGGUCUUGACAUACUAUGCAAAUCUAAGAAGAUUAGACGUUCCCUUCGGGGACAUGGAAACAGGGUGGGGGCAUGGGUUGUCGUCAGCUCCUGUCGUGAGAAGUUUGGGGUUAAUUCCCCCCACCAAGCGCAACCCUUUAUUAUCAGUUGCCAGCAUUAAAUUGGGGACUCCUGGUGAGAACUGCCGGUGAAAACCCGAGGAAGAGAGGGGGGGGUGAGGGU